AUGAGCAGCAGGGGAGGGGUGCAGCACAGCGUGUGCGUGUGUGUGUGUGUGUGUGUGUGUGUGUCGCCCGCGCGCGCGCGCACUGACAUAUUCGUCCAUCCAUCUGUAUUUGUUUUCCAGACAGUUGAUUCGAUCAUGCUGAGUCAUAGGAUUCGCUCUGUCUGCCACACCCUGCACUUUUCCAAUCUAUCAUAUCCCUUUUCUUGGGUCUUCCUUGCAUGUGUAGGUGUGCAUGAUUUUAAUGUGUGCUCAUAUUAUCUCAGCGAUUUACAUACAGAUGUAAUACAGAAACCAGUAUAAUGCUGUUCCCGCCUAACGCGCGUGGCUCACCGCCUCCUCUCCAGCUCCGUGAAAGCAGUGACAGCGCUACACGAGGGGCUAUGGGUGGGGGGGCUGCAGCCGCGUCAGAAUUUUUAAUAGCCCGGAAGGAAGUGAUUAAAACUGCAAUUCAUCGACUGGACGCUUGAGGCUGGCUGCAAAAGGGAGUCAGUCCCAUAGUCUCCCCAUGUUAAAAUGCCCAACUUUACAGCAGAAAAAACUUGUUUACAGUCUGGUUCAAAACAUGAUUUUGGUCUAUAUAGCUAAUUUUGCCCUUCAUGACAACUGUGAGGGUGGUGAAUUUUUUUUAUAACUCAAAUUAUAUUAAGCCUUAAAUUUCUGCAUAAUUAAGGGCAUGGCCACUUGAGUGACAGGUGGAUGGACGCUGCUGACACUGCCGUCGAACUAGGUGGGCGUGGCUUCAGAAACAGCUCCCGCCUUUUUGCCCAAUUUCAAUGAUCUUGGAGUGACGCGCGGUGCCCGUCACUGUUAAGAGUAUGACUAAUACUAAUUAAAAAGUCAUAUAAGGUAAGGCUAUUAAAUAGUAGUCCCAAUACUAACAUGAACUAUUAAUGAAACAUGGAAACUGCUGCUGAAUAGAAUGAAUAUCAUACCUUCAUGCAAAUCCUUCCCAGUUAACACACACAGUACCAGUUAUGUUAUUUAUUGUUACUGUACUUUUAUUUCACACGUUGCAUGAUCUUAUAGUUUCUGCGCUUUAGUGAAGUAAUAUGGAGCGCAUUGUGGGCAGCGCUAAACAGGCAGUGAUGAAGAAUAGGUGGGUGGGGCUAAAUAGGCACUGAUGUAGAAUCAGUGGGCGGCGCUAAACAGGCAGUGAUGAAGAAUAGGUGGGUGGGGCUAAAUAGGCACUGAUGUAGAAUGGGUGGACGGGCCUUAACAGAGAGUGAUGUAGAAUUGGUGGGCAGAGCUAAACAGAAAGUGAUAUGUUCAAUUGCACUCCACAUUGUGCAAUUGAAGAGUGUGCACUACGAGCGCUAUAUAGCAUCUGGCAGGGCAGGCUAGUUCGUUUUCUGAGGUGAAAGACUUUUUAUUUCAUAAGUUACAAAAUAACAAUAGAAUAAUGACACUGACAUUAAGCCUAUCAAUAUCUCAUCUGACUGCAUUCUGAAUCGGGACAGCGCAUUUUUCUCAAGCACUCUUUUUAAACUGCAUCUUACAGAAGUGUCAACGGCUUUCAUAAAUGUAUUUUAAAAUAAAAGUCUCGCAUCAGAAAAAACAUUUAGAAUUACCGCAACACUCCACAACCCACUCAGAAAGGUCUUGCAACCCACCAGUUGAGAAACACUGGUCGAAAAACUGCCAAAACGACUGCUUGCAGAAUGUGCCACUCUAUGAUGUGAUAGUGUAGAUAAGCGCCACCACUGUGCCCACCGAUUCUACAUCACUGCCUGUUUAGUGCCACUAACCGAUUCUACAUCAAUGCCUGUUUAGCCCCGCCCACCGAUUCUACAUCGCUGGUUGUUUACGCCCCCACCCACCGAUUCUACAUCACUGCCUGUUUAAGCCCCCGCCCACCGAUUCUACAUCACUGCCUGUUUAGCCCCGCCCACUGAUUCUACAUCACUGCCUGUUAAGCCCCGCCCACCGAUUCUACAUCACUGCCUGUUAAGCCCCGCCCACUGAUUCUACAUCACUGCCUGUUAAGCCCCGCCCACCGAUUCUACAUCCCUGCCUGUUUAGCCCCACCCUCAGAUUCACACGCAUAGUAGGUAAAUGACAAGAGCGGCAAACGCAGGUCUUUGAACUUUAUUUUUAAUGAAGUGCCAGACUGUGUCAAUAAGAAAUUGGUCCUUUGUUCACUUAAUUUUACCGCAGAUUCAUUUACAAACAAGGCACAAUUUGAUGCAGGAUUUUCAGAAAGAUUGAAACUAAAAGAAAAUGCUCCGUCAACGAUAUUGGAUCCGACAGUAUAAUGUAGUAAACACACAAGUGUGAGUAACUGUUUUUAUCACGUGAUCACUA
rnacentral:lncRNA from 1 species